CCUAAUCACACAUGAAACCCUCCUUCACACCUGUUCAUCCCCAAAUGAGCCAUGUUCACUCCCACCAUCACUCACCAAUGCUAUUCCUUACCCUUCUAACACUCAAGACAUACCACACACCACACACCAUACACAACCAAUAAACAAGCAUGCACACAGACACAUACAUAGAGGGAAAGAGGGAUCCGAGAGAGUGAGGGAGCCGCAAGAGGAAGACGCGGAGGGAGGAGCUGCUUCCCGUUGCUGCCGUCAACUCGUGCCUCGUCGCGGCACGCCACUGCCACUGUCAAGGCUAUUGUCGCCAUCAUCAUCGUGGUGUGUGGGCUUCGCGCAGAGAGAAGAAACAGAACGUGAUGGGAGAGGGAGGGGGACUAUUCCCGCUACUGUCGCGCGCUUCGUCGCCACUGCUGAAGGCUGCGCCGCCAUGCCUCUGGUCCUGGGUGGAGUCCACCGUCCGAGCUGCCACCAGAAGGAUCCACCACCGUCAAACCCUAGCAAUCACUGUCGGAGGAGCCAUUGUCAGGUGAAACCCUAGCGGGCACAACUGCUGUACAAGCCACCAAUUGGGAGAGCCGCUGUUGUGUGAGGGAAGAUGAAAGUGACGAAGGUUCCUGGUGCCACCGUCGCGGUGGAAGAAACCUAGAGAGAGAAAUGAACGAGGAGCUCCAAGAGAGGGAGCGUUGUUCCUCUGCUGUUUCUGCCCGGCAUCCCUGCUACCAGAAUUCUUGGGCGCCACCAUCGUUCUUGCUGAGGCUUGUCAUUCGAGAAGGCAAGCUGCUGCGUCCUCUUCUUUGUUCUGACAACAAAUUCUCCAUUCGUAACCCUUAUCGUUGUAUUCUGAUGGAACUAUUGAAGUUGUGGUUGUUGUGAGCGGGAUUAAAAUUGGUGCUGUUGCCGCCAUCUCGGUCACGUUGGAAUUGCCGUUGCUGCUAUGAAUUUAAAGUAAGCAGAUUUAUCGUGGUUAAUUCUUUCGGGUUCAGCUAAUCGACGUAGGAGGUUUUAUUUUGAAAUUAACUGUUUAAAAUUUUGAAUGCCAUGGAAAUUUAGUGGGUAUUUGCAAAUAAUUUAUGAUUACUUGGACUGACUGAAUGAUGAGUUUGAAUUUAGGUUGUAAUUGAUAUUGGUUUUCUGAUUUUGAUGGAGUUAUUGAAAUUUUGAUUUUGUGAGAUUAUGAUGAGUUGGUUGAGUUGUGGCUAUGAAAGGUGAUUAAAUUAGUGUUAUUGUUAAAUUGUAAUAUGACGAGUUAAUUAUUGAAGAAAUUGUCGUAUUGAUAAUUGCUGAAUGGAGUUGGAUUUGAGUUUGGUUUGGAAAGUUAUGAAUCUGAGGGAGCCCGCAUGGGUGGUGAAGUCCAAUUUUUAAGAGGAGAUUCUUCCCAAUUUUAUGUAAAAGUAACUGAAAACAUGGUUUUAUUUUGAAAAUAUUAUUUAUAAAUUUAUUUUGAAACAUGAUUUUAUAGUGGAAAAUAUUUUAUUUACAUAUUUACUCAUAUUGAGAAAUGGGUUUUGUAUUGAAAAUUUGUUUUAUUAGUAAUAAAUUGAGAAUUAGAAAAGAUUUUGACAUUGGAACUAGUUGGAUUUUCAUAUUUAUAAAUGUUUUGGAUAUUGGACUUGGCCUGCUGGUUUAGUAAUCUGUGAGAAUUGAAAAUAGGUUUUUAGUACUGAAUUUGAUUCAUUUGAAUUAUCAAAAAUAUUUUCUGAGAAUUGGAAAUGGUUUGGUUGGAAUCUUGGAAGGGUGGCAUAGUCCGAAUUUUAGAGAAAAUGCUGUCGAAAUUUUUAUAAAACUCCAAGACUUUGUUUAAGGCGUUAUUUAAAAGCCAAUCUGAUUUAUGAAUAUUGUUUGAUUUUGAAUUAUUACGAAAAGAGUUAUUUUCAAUCCGAUUUAUUAAGAAAAGUAUAAUCUUUUAAAUUCACUCUUUUGAGAAGAGAUUUUGUUUUAAAUUAUGAUAUGAAUUCGGUUUGUUAAGAAAAAGAAAGAAUGAGAAAAGAGAACAUGGCACGUGUGAUUAUGAAAUGUUUAAAAGGUCACGAGAGGGUGACGGAAAGUAAAUGGUUAUGGUGCCGAUGGGAAAAUGUUAAGCUAUGGGCUUUAUAUGUGAAUGAUUAUGCGGGGACGUCCGUGUGUAUGGAAUGACUUCCAGGAGAAAGGGGCACAAGUACUUGCAGAGGUCAUGUUUGACAUACUUCAGCUGGAGAAUCAGCACCUGCAAGUACUUGCAGAGGUCAUGUUUGGCAUACUUCAGCUAGAGAAUCAGCGCCUGCACGAAGUAAAAAUUUACAGAGGUUAUACCGCUGGAAUGCCUUAUCUGACUUGUGAGUCGGAUUACGUUGAGUGCCCAUCGAAACAGACAAAUGAGUUCAUUACCUGCGCUAGGAAUAGACAUGCAUCAUAUUGUUUACACAUUUGUUUUGGUUGUGUUUGCUUGUUGUACUUUUCUGUGAUUGUGUAUGUGUUGUGUUUGUUUCUCUUUAUGUGCUUUAGUUAGUAUGUUUGUUGCGGGUUUCGGUGGCUACUGCUUACUGGGAUUUUCUUAAAUAAUUUAACUUACUGAGAACUAAUCAAAAUCAUUAAAGUGAGUUUUAAAGAGUUCUAAAGGUAAUUUUUUAAAGUUGAAAAGUGAUUAUUUGCAACUUAAUUCUUUUCUCUCACGGCAUUCUCUGUCCCUACUGAGAACUUGCAAGGACGAAGUUCUCACCCCCUACAGAUUUUUUUUGUUCAGUAAUAGGUUCAGGAAUCCUCGGCGGGAGGCCGCGACCGAACUACGAAGCUUAACAUAUACAUAUAUUCCUACUUUCUGUAUUUGGUUUAGUCAUAGAUUUUAUUUUUCCCUCGCCAUUAGUUGUUUUGAUUUUUAGAGGGGCAGGACUUGUAUUUGACAGUCUUUGAAUAUGUCUAUAUAUAAAGCUAUGUGAAUAUUUAUACU